CGUCACUAAAUAAGCAGUAUGAUGAAGAAAAACAUUAAUUACUGGAUCAGGUACAAAAUUUAUCUUUGAAAGUUGAUACUCUGAGUAAAGAGAAAAUUUCUGUUCUUGAGCAGGUAGAUCACUGGUCCAACAAAUUCUCAGAAUGGAAGAAGAAAGCACAGUCAAGAUUUACACAGUAUCAAAACACUAUUAAAGAAUUGCAGAUUCAGCUCGAGUUAAAAUCAAAGGAAGCUCAUGAAAAGGAUGAGCAGAUAAAUUUAUUGAAGGAAGACCUUGAUCAGCAAAACAAAAGAUUUGAUUGUUUAAAGGGUGAAAUGGAAGAUAAGAAGAACAAGAUGGAGAAAAAUGAGUGCAGUUUAGAAAGAGUUAAAGAAUCAAACAGCAUGAAUUGUGGAAUUAGAGGACCAUAUAACCCAGAAACUACUGAAAUAGAGUCCUUAAAUGAAGUUCUUAAAAAUUACAGUCAACAAAAGGAUAUUGAAAACAAAGAAUUGGUUCAGAAACUUGAAUAUUUUCAAGAGUUAGGAGAAGAAAAGGACAACAGGGUUAAAGAAGCUGAAGAAAAGGUCUUAACACUUGAAAAGCAAGUUGCUUCCAUGAAAGCUGAACUUGAAACUAAGAAGAAAGAAUUACAACAUGUGAAUUUAAGUGUGAAAAGCAAAGAAGAGGAGUUAAAGGUACUGGAAGAUAGGCUUGAGUCAGAAAGUGCUGCAAAAUUAGCAGAGUUGAAGAAAAAAGCUGAACAAAAAAUUGCUGCCAUUAAGAAGCAGCUGUUAUCUCAAAUGGAAGAGAAAGAAGAACAGUAUUUCAGAACAGAAAGCCAUUUGAGUGAGCUAAAUGCAAAAUUGCAGGAAGGAGAAAGGGAAGUUCACAUCUUGGAAGAAAAACUUAAAUCAGUGAAAAGUUCACAAUCAGAAACAUUAAUUGUACCCAGAUCAGCAAAAAAUGUGGCAGCAUGUACUGACCAAGAAGCAGAUUCCCAAGAUUGUGUGCAGAAGAUGUAUGAAGUGUUUAACAAAGAAAUUUAACUGAAAAAGAAAAACUAUUGCAGAUGCUGGAGCAAGAAAAAGAAGAGACAAUUUCUUCUCAUUCUGAAAUGUAAUGCAAAUACCAGGAGCUCUUAAUAAAGCUAGAACAUGGUGAAGCAAAGCAAUGUGAAGAUCAAGUUAUGAUCAUCUUCAAGAAGAACUUGAAGAAGAAAUAUUCCUUGAUAGUAUCCCAACAUGUGGAAGAAGGGGGAGGUAAAAAUAACACAAAGGAAAAGCAAGACUUGGAAAAUGUGGUUGAUGAUGUUCAGAAAAUCCUCCAGGAGAAGGAACUAACCUGUCAGAUCUUGGAGCGAAAGAUAAAAGAGAUGGAUUCCUGCUUAGUAAGACAGAAAGAAGUACAUAGAGUUGAAAUGGAAGAGGUGACCUCAAAAUAUGAAAAAUUACAGGCUUUACAACAACAGAUGGAUGGAAAAAAUAAACCCACAGAACUUUUGGAGGAAAACACUGAAGAAAAAUCCAAAUCACAUUUGGUCCAAUCCAAAUUGCGUAGUAACAUGGAAGGCCAGCACAAUGACCUGGAAUUUAAAUUAGCAGGGGCAGAAUGGGGAGAAACAGAAACUGGGCAAGGAGAUUGUUAGAUUUCAGAAAGACCUUCGAAUGUUGAGAAAGGAGCAUCAGCAAGAAUUGGAAAUACUAAAGAAAGAAUAUGAACAAGAAAGGGAAGAGAAAAUCAAACAGGAGCAGGAAGAUCUUCAACUGAAGCACAAUUCCACAUUAAAACAGCUGAUGAGGGAGUUUAAUACUCAGCUGGCACAAAAGGAACAAGAGCUGGAAAUGGCCAUAAAAGAAACUAUCAAUAAGGCCCAGGACAUGGAGGCUGAACUUUUAGAAAGCCAUCAAGAAGAGACAAAUCAGUUACUUAAAAAAAUUGCUGAGAAAGAUGAUGAUCUAAAACGAACAGCCGAAAGAUAUGAAGAAAUUCUUGAUGCUCGUGAAGAAGAAAUGACUGCCAAAGUAAUGGACCUGCAGACUCAACUUGAGGAGCUGCAGAAGUAAUAUGAGCAAAAGCUAGAGCAGGAGGAGAACCCUGGCAAUGAUAAUGAAACAAUUAUGGAGCUACAGACACAGCUAGCACAGAAGACGACUUUAAUCAGUGAUUCAAAAUUGAAAGAGCAAGAGUUCCAAGAACAGAUUCACAAUUUAGAAGACAAUUUGAAGAAAUAUGAAAAGAAUGUAUAUGCAACUGUGGGGACACCUUACAAAGGUAGAAAUUUGUAUUAUACUCUUUGGAGAACCUACCGAGUUUGAGUAUUUCUGAAAAGCGCUUUUUGAGUAUCUGAUGGUUCCUGAGACUAAGACCAUGGCAAAAGUUAUAACCACUGUACUGAAGUUCCCUGAUGAUCAGACUCAGAAAAUUUUGGAAAGAGAAGAUGCUAGGCUAAUGUCACGGCUCUGAUCUUCAUCUUGAAGAAGAGCGCUGCUG